CAUGCAUGCCUAGAAGAAAAAUUGGCGCCCUACUGGUGCGCGGGCCCUCCCAGGCCCGUUAGUGCCGACCGGGAUUGUCAAGGAAUCAGCGAACGGCUCCGCAUAUCUGUUGUCACCUAUCGUGGUAAAUACGGCGUGGAUAGAGCACGGAAAAGCUGUGUAUAACACAGAACAGUGGGGUCACCGCUGCCCGUUGGCAUGGGCAGUGGGGAUAAGUGGGCCCAUACGUAUGGGCCCCACCUCAUGAACGGCUCUUAAAGUAGUACAGGGACUAAAGACCCCUGGGCGAAACAGAGGCCUCUGCCUCGGACAUGUCUACCAACUGCCUUGACCGGGGUUGGUCUUGUCUGAGCGCGGCAGAGCCCAUCCACAAGCGCACGAUGGACUUCAGACCUAUCAGCUAGACGGUAGGGUAUUGGCCUACCGUGGCGAUGACGGGUACAGAGGAUUAGGGUUUGAUCCUGGAGAGGUAGCCUGAGAAAUCGCUCCCACUUCUAAGGAAGGCAGCAGGCGCGUAACGUUCCCAAUGCUAGUACCCCUAGUGAGGACGUAAUGGGACAUAACAAUACCCCUUAUUGUUAGUGGGUAAUUGACAAUGGGGCGGGCAUAAAACCCCUGCCGAGAAGCGACUGGAG
rnacentral:rRNA from 1 species